UGUAAUGUAUGUUAAGUGUGUUUAGUGUUUUGCAAAUCACUGUGUGUAUUGUUUUGCAAAAAGUGUGAAGCUGACAUUGUGCUUAUAGUGGUGCAGAUCUGGGCUCAUGUUAUGAUCCUUGAGUGUAAGGUUUUGAUAAUAGUGUCAUACUUUUGAUUUUAGUGUUUAAGCAAUCGAAAAAAACUGUAAUGCUACGCUACCCUCGGCCAGUCUUCCCAUGUGGUGACAUUUUAUUUUACCAAAGUUAAGCUUAUCUAAGCUUGUUAUUGAUGGGCUAGUGUAAAACAAUUCCAAUUGUGUAGGCCUAGUGGUUAUAUAUCUGAGACUGAUGCAAUCCAUUUCAUUAUCCUUCUCCAGACCAGAUAUGCUGCAAGUGCCUUUGCGUGGACUGAAAAAAGGUGGUUGCAUAUGCAUUACAUUGUGAAAAUACCGAAGUAAGAACUGUGACCAGAUAUGGAUCUUCUCCUUGUGGACAUGGCCGACAAACACACUGUUGAGUCGUGACUGCUCCAUCGUGGAGCGGAGCCAAUUCUUCAAACGACGCAGGGCACUGAAGCUCCGCUCCGCUUCGCAAGAAGAGACUGGGACCACAAGCAACAGCCUAACAAGAGCCUCCACCUGGGUGUUGCUCCAACAUGGCCAAACGGCCAAGGCCCUCUUGGUUGAACCUCUCAUCCAGCUGCAUGCUUGCUGUAUCGAUGGCAGAGAAAAAUUGCACCCUGAAAAAGUCCUCUGCCGAAGACGGGGUGUGGCUGUUUGCAGGCCCACCACAUCGGUUAGCUGGUUUCCG